rnacentral:rRNA from 1 species
CCUACGGGCGGCAGCAGUGGGGAAUAUUGGACAAUGGGCGAAAGCCUGAUCCAGCCAUGCCGCGUGUGUGAAGAAGGCCUUCGGGUUGUAAAGCACUUUCAGUGGGGAAGAAAGCCUUGGGGCUAAUACCCUCGAGGAAGGACAUCACCCACAGAAGAAGCACCGGCUAACUCCGUGCCAGCAGCCGCGGUAAUACGGAGGGUGCGGGCGUUAAUCGGAAUUACUGGGCGUAAAGCGCGCGUAGGCGGUCUGAUAAGCCGGUUGUGAAAGCCCCGGGCUCAACCUGGGAACGGCAUCCGGAACUGUCAGGCUAGAGUGCAGGAGAGGAAGGUAGAAUUCCGGGUGUAGCGGUGAAAUGCGUAGAGAUCGGGAGGAAUACCAGUGGCGAAGGCGGCCUUCUGGACUGACACUGACGCUGAGGUGCGAAAGCGUGGGUAGCAAACAGGAUUAGAUACCCCUGUAGUC